AGAAUCAACGCUGGCGGCGUGCCUAACACACGCAAGUCGCACGAGAAAGGGUAGCAAUACCUGAGUAAAGUGGCGCACGGGUGAGUAACACGUGAAUUAUCUACCUCCGAGUGGGGAAUAACUGAGAGAAAUCUUAGCUAAUACCGCAUAACACUUACGAGUCAAAGCAGCAAUGCGCUUGGAGAGGAGUUCGCGGCAGAUUAGUUAGUUGGCGGGGUAAUGGCCCACCAAGACGAUGAUCUGUA
rnacentral:rRNA from 1 species